CCAAAGCAAGAACAAAGGAAGAAAAAGGAAGAACAAGAACCCUAGGGUGAAAAUUCAUUAGAAAAUUGGUGGAUUUCAAGUAAUCAAGCAAUCAAAGGUAAAUUUUCUUGAUUUUGACUUGUGAUCUACCUUUUCCAUGCGUUAUUUUACAUUUUUCAUGGUUGAAUCACAAGAUAUCAUGAAGGAUAGUGUGCUGAUCAAACCCUAGGAGAGAGGUUUUGAUGCUUGAUUUAGUUAGAUUUCAAUGUAUUUUAGUGUUUUUAGUUGAUUGGUGAUGUGUAGCAUGAAAAUCAAGCAAGAAAAAUUCAUGUUCUCCCAUCACCCAUCAUUGGCCGAAUUCUCCAUGUGGAAUGUUGAGGAUGAUUUUGAUUUUAUUUGAAGUGAUUUGGUUAGGAAUUAGUGAUUUAUGGUGUGAGAAUAAAAUAGGAAAAAUUAUAGUGUUGAUGCACCCACCAUGGCCGAAUUUUCCAAGAGAAAAUAUGAAAAUGAUUUUGCUAGAUUUUAUGCUAUUUGACUUGUGUUUGAUGAUUUGGAGUAUUGGGAGAAAAAUAGAAUUUAUUUGGAGUUGAAUUGGACGUAUUGGCCAAUUAAUCGAGUGAUAGAUUGAAUUAGGCCAAUACCGUUUAAUUUAGGUACACAAUUGAAUUUGUGUAGAACACCGUGUUUAGACAAUAAUCUGAAUAAUUUGCAUCCCAUUUCAUACAUUAGUAUAAAGCCUGAAUUGGUUUUAUAACAAUUUAGCACAAUGUAGUAAAUGGCUUAUUGUGCAUUAUGUCUAUGUGGUGAGCAUUUUGGCAAAAGUAAAGAGAUAGUACCCGAGGAUCAAGAAUCGGAGUACUUGGAAUUCGACUCCCGAAAUAGUGAGUAACCUUACUAUCGUCUUAAUUAUCUAAAGUGGUUUUUAUCCGAUUUUGUGAUUUUAUGGGAAAUGAGUUUAAGUGGUAAAUCUUUAUGUUUUAUAAACAAAAUAUGUUUAAAUGAAAUGAUUUUAUAAAUUGUCUUGAAAUUGAAUGAUGGCUUUGAAAAUAGAGUAAUUGGAGACCACUUGAUGUGUUGUAAUUUAUGGUUCUAAUUGAUGGCUUAUGAUAAUGUGUUGGCAUGACUGGCUGGAAUUGUGGUUUGUGAACUGUAUGAAUUGUUCUGUUUUACAUUUACAGGUUGGGUAGUAUAAUAUGAGUCAUGUCAUGCUGUCAAAAUUUUAUUAUAUGGUGGGUUUAACUUGCUGCAGUGGGCGGGUUUUCUGUGGACUAGCUGAUUAGAGGGGCACGAAAUCCCGUUAUAUUUUACCUCAGUUGGAGAGGCGAGUAGGGUAACUCCCGAGGUAUAACUUUAGAGUCACUUCACGCCAAACCACCACGUGAGGGUGAACUCAACCAACUCCAAGGAACGACUAUGUUUUCAAAAUAAAAAUAUGUUUAUGUGUAUAUGAAAUUUUAACAGCCUUGGCGGACUCGGUUGGGAUAGCCCUCGAUCAAGGCAUCCUUGAUAAUUGGGUAUGAGAAUGAUUUUGGCACGAGCCAAAGUUUUAAGAAAUUCAUAAGCCAUGUUGAUUACUCGAUUUAUAUGAAUUGAUUUUAUUUGGUUGAAACAAGUUGAAAAGUGAUGAAUUACAGUAUGUUAAACUAUUUUAUCUGUCUCCAUUUACUCGGCUUUAGAUAUUUUAGAUGGUAUUUGUUUACUCACUGGGAUUAUAUAAUCUCACCACCCUCCUUUCCACCCAUUUCAGGCUCAGGAUAGUCUAUAGAUAGCUGAUUUCAUCGAGGACCACCAUUGGAUUUGCAUCCUCCAAACUGUAGGUUCACAAUCUUUCUUACUUUUGGUUAUUCGAGGGCCCACUUGCUACUGUAAAUUAAAUUAAAUACUCUGACUUACUGUAUUACAAUAUAUAUGAAUUUAUUUUGCUUUUACGCUGUAAAAAUUAUUUAUGCAGUGUUCUAAAAAUAUUGUUUUAUGAGAAAAUUGAAUAUUUUAUUCAAUAUUUUUAUUUUAUUCUAAUAGUCAUAAUUUCAUUUUAAACGAAUGUUUUAGACAUCCAAAUUUAUUUUUGAUUAUGAAAUAUGUGUUUUGCACCCGUAUACUACAUUUUUUGAGGAUUUCGAGAUUAAUGAGGAAAAAUGACCAAAAUGCCCCUGUGAGAAAAAAUUGUUUUUCUAUUGUUUUGAUUUGGAAAUAGUUUAUAAUCUCUCAAAACAUAAUUUUAGUGACUAAUACUCACAGAGGAAGCGAGAAAAACUGAUGUUAAGCCUUGCGAGAUUUCGAUUGACAUUCCGGGUAAUGAAUGUCUAUUAGGACGUCACAGCGGUUUUCACGGGCUCGAUGGGAGUUUCGGGUCGUGACAAAGUUUAAGGCUUUAUGAUGUUUUGUCAUAAUAUUUUGUUGGAAUCAUCCCUUCUUCGAUGCAAUUUUGAUUUGCACCUGUAUUAAAAAGUGCUAUUGUUGAAAUUCUUCGUUUAUUAAAAGGUGUAUUUUAAUUAAGUAUUUUUGUAUUGAUACUUAUGUAAGAACCAUCAUAUAUUCUUGUGAUUCUUCUAGUUCUGCCUUUGUAUCUGAGGAAGAAUUUUUUAUUAGAGCUCUUGAAUUUUGGAAGAAUUCUAUUUGGUUUUUAAUUUCUCUUUGUUCGCUCCUGAGUUUGGAAAAUUCCACUUUUAUUUAUUUAAUUUCUGAUUGUAAUUCUACAUUUGUUAUCUGUCUAGGUUUAGAGGAUUCAUAUAUGUCAAAAAGAAUAUCUUUUAUAUUAUACAUGUGUUCUUGAUUUGUAAUUGUGGGUUUUUCUAUUUUUUCUUUCAUUGAAAUUUUUAAUUUCUCAAGAUAUUCUCUUUUCAAUGUUGAGUUUUGAAUUUUAUCAAUGAUUUCAAUCAUGAGUUCUUAGCCUUUGGUUAGGACAUUAAUUUGUUUUUCAUUAUUUGUUGAAGAUUGAGAUGUAGUUUGUAUUUCAUCUAUUUGGAACUCACUUAAAGAUUCUGUGUUUUCAGACAUCUCAUAGUCUGAUGUUGUUGAUUCUAGUAGAAUUUCAUUAAUUUUUUGUUCAAUUUCUUCAUCUAGGUGAAGUUCGUUUACUUUUCUUCUAAUUUUGCAGGAUUUUGAAAUGUGACCAGCUAUUUCGCAUCUAAAACAUUUUAUUGUUUUGUCUAUUUUACUUUCUUCAUUUUGCUUUUGUUUCUCGUUUCUAUGCCUCUUGUAUUUUGGUUUGUUGUAGUAAUCCAAGGUACUUUUCUUAUGUUUUUUUUUUGUUUUGGUUUUGUAGGACAACAAGUUUUUGAAGAAGAAGGUUCAUGUUUGAUGUCAAAUUGUUGACAAAAUGAUCUUAAUUCUUUUUUGUAAAGAUAUCUUUUCUUUUUUAAUUGUUUUUAAAGUUUUAAAUCUUGGCAAAUUUUUAAUCCCUCUUUUUGGGUGAAGCUUAU
rnacentral:lncRNA from 1 species